rnacentral:lncRNA from 1 species
AAUUUACUAACUCAUUUUUUGUAUAUAUGACUUUCCUAAUCCUUCAUUCCUUCAUCGUCAAUCCUCUUGCACUUCUCAAUGUAAGGUGGUUGUCUAAGUGGAGUAUUCAUAAUGAAGCUUUGUUUUAUUUCCUUCCAUUCUCAAGAUUAUUUCUCUCUCCUUAAAAUUCAUUAAUGCUCGUCCAGUUGUCAAGAAUGGUCUUUCCAAAAUUACUAGUAAGUUUUGACCUUCUUUUAUAUUGAGGAUAAUGAAAUCAAUUGAAAAAAUGAGAUCUCCAGUUAAGCAAAUCUUCAGCUAGUUGUAGAAUUAUUGAAGUUGCUUGAGGAUCCCCACUCCUAAUUUCAUUUAGAUAGACAAGGGAAUCAGACUAAUACUUGUUUCAGAAUGAACUAAAAUAUUUGUACCAUGUGAAUUUCCUAUAAAACAAGGUAAAAUAAAAUUUUCUGGAUCUUUCAGUUUUGGAGGCUUGCAUUGUAGGAUUGCGAUUUACUCUUCAUUCAAUGCUACUAUUUUAUCUACUGGCAUGUUUCUUUUCUUGGUCAACAUAUCUUUUAAAAACUUAGUAUAAUUUGGAAUUUGUAGCAUAAUGUCAAUGGUGAACUUGUUUGAGGGCAUCUAAGAACUUCUUGAACUGCUUUUUCAACUUAUUGUUUUGCAACCUUUGUGAGAAUGGGAUUGGAAGCGUGUGUUUAUUGACAGGAGCUGUUGCUUUAACUUGUAAACUCUCUACUAUUCUUCUUGAUUAAUGUUCGCUGAGUUUUUUGAUUGAUCCACUCUCGCGUGUGGUAGGUAUAUAAUUCUCCAUGAUCACUUUCUUCUUUACACUAAUUUCUGGUAACCAAACUCCACUUCUCAUUUUGAUGGGCUAGAAUUGUUCCACUUUGGCUACCUGUGAAGCCUUGGAGUAAAUUGAAUAGGUAGACGUAUGCCGAACAAGGGUUGCAGACUUGAUUGAUGAGUCUCAACAACUUCAUAUUCCUCGGCUUAAAUUGAGAAACCUAUUUCAGUGGAUUUUUAUUUGCAUAACUUGGCAAAGUACCCUGUGUUCCGUUGGACAAUAUAGCUAUCAUCUGUCCCAUCUGAAUUUUCAAAUUUUAUAUUGUAUUCGCUGGUUCUGAAAAUCUGUCUCAUUUUUAGCAAUAUAUUGAGCUACUAAUUUUUCCAACGGUGGCUUCUUUUUUUGUUGUUGCUAAAAUCCUGGUAGGUUGCCCUGAAUCUGCUUUUUCCUAAACCUAAUUAAUAACCACUAAGAAGUUUGGAUGCUUGCUCUAAUGUAGUUUGCAGGUGUUGGAGUAAGGGUUGUUUUGCUGUCUCUAAAAAUUCUAUAAAUAUUUACCUCUUCAAACUAAUAAACAUAUGUACAGGUUAAAGGACAACUUGCAAUUAUAUUAUCUGCUUCAUAGCCCUUAACACUGGUGCUGACUAGAGCACGCAUUCAUAUUCUGAGUUAGAUUGUCCAAUUUCUUUGUUAUUAGUUCCAUCUAGGUUGCUAAUACUCGCUCUUUUUCUAAGAGUUUUCCUUUCAAUUGGCCACAAAGACUGAUUUUCUGCAAUCCACUCAAAAAGAUCCAAGGCGGGCAUAUCCAUUAUUGAUCCUCACGUUGAAACAUAACCUAUGUUACAAUAUUUUGUUCCUAGGCCUGAAUAAAAUAUGCAGAUCUUAGUAUUUUUAGCAAUCGAGGUCCUUUUGUUUGAAAAUAUGGAGUUCAUAUCUGAUUUGAUAGACUCGAGAAAGUAGGAAGAAUUUUGAGGUAAAUUUUUGAACUAUAUCAUUCUAUGAGAUGAAGCAGCCAGGAAUUAGCGAGCAUAGCUAUUCUCGUGUGCCUUCCUUUAAUGUAUGAGAGAAUAUGCGUAUUCAAAAGACGUUUGCUAACAUUCGUCCGAGACUGAUUACUUCACAAAGUAUUAAGAAGGCAUGUAUAUAUUCAUGUGAUUUUCAUUUGGUCUUCCAUAGAACCUAGUUUGUUGAUAAUUCUAAAAUAAGUUGAUGACAUCUAAUCGAAUGUGGAAGUUGGCCUAUCAAAUGGUGUAUAAACAAUAGCCGAUUUCACAUGAAUUGGAGAGUGUAUUUGAUAAUCCUAUACUAGUACUUCGCUAUCGUUGUCAAGCUCUUGACGAAUCUGGUAGUAAUUGAAUUUGAUUUUAAUUUUGUCAUUUCUCUUUAUUAUCUCUAUUUUUUCUUUGUUGUCUAAAGGUCCUUUGGAUUUUGAGAUCCAAUAGUAGGAGCUCGAUUUCUUCAGAAUCUUGUAUAAACUGUUAGAUAGCACCCGAAAAAGAAAACCAAGCAAAAGAGAGAUAAUGUGUAAUAGCCUAAAAUAAAUAAAUAAAAUAAUAAAAAAAACUCAAAUUCUAUAUAAACUCUUAAACUCAAAUUAAAUAUUUCUUCCUUGGUCACGACAUCUUUUUUUUUUUUUUUUUUUUUUUUUCUAGAUGAUUAGGAAUACAUUUCAAUUUAAGUGUACUAAUCUUGUAUCAAAUUCGAAGUAUGUGACACAAAAGAGAUUCAAUUUUGUGAUUAUUCUAAAUUAUUCUAAGAAUUAUGUAGAACUUGAAUUUGUAUGAAUGAAUGGAUGAUUAUUGUAUUGAAUUAAGAAUCCGCCUUUUAUUAUUUCAAUUCUUGAUUAUGCAAUCUAGUCUUAUUCAUGUAUUCUUGACAAUUGAUAAAGUCAUGAUAUA